GACGAACGCUGGCGGCGUGCUUAACACAUGCAAGUCGAACGGAAAGGCCCUGCUUUUGUGGGGUGCUCGAGUGGCGAACGGGUGAGUAACACGUGAGUAACCUGCCCUUGACUUUGGGAUAACUUCAGGAAACUGGGGCUAAUACCGGAUAGGAGCUCCUGCUGCAUGGUGGGGGUUGGAAAGUUUCGGCGGUUGGGGAUGGACUCGCGGCUUAUCAGCUUGUUGGUGGGGUAGUGGCUUACCAAGGCUUUGACGGGUAGCCGGCCUGAGAGGGUGACCGGCCACAUUGGGACUGAGAUACGGCCCAGACUCCGACGGGAGGCAGCAGUGGGGAAUAUUGCACAAUGGGCGGAAGCCUGAGGCAGCAACGCCGCGUGCGGGAUGACGGCCUUCGGGUUGUAAACCGCUUUCGCCUGUGACGAAGCGUGAGUGACGGUAAUGGGUAAAGAAGCACCGGCUAACUACGU
rnacentral:rRNA from 1 species